rnacentral:rRNA from 1 species
UACGUAGGUCCCGAGCGUUGUCCGGAUUUAUUGGGCGUAAAGCGAGCGCAGGUGGUUUAUUAAGUCUGGUGUAAAAGGCAGUAGCUCAACCAUUGUAUGCAUUGGAAACUGGUAGACUUGAGUGCAGGAGAGGGGAGUGGAAUUCCAUGUGUAGCGGUGAAAUGCGUAGAUAUAUGGAGGAACACCGGUGGCGAAAGCGGCUCUCUGGCCUGUAACUGACACUGAGGCUCGAAAGCGUGGGGAGCAAACAGG